UACGAAGGGGGCUAGCGUUGCUCGGAAUCACUGGGCGUAAAGGGUGCGUAGGCGGGUCUUUAAGUCAGGGGUGAAAUCCUGGAGCUCAACUCCAGAACUGCCUUUGAUACUGAAGAUCUUGAGUUCGGGAGAGGUGAGUGGAACUGCGAGUGUAGAGGUGAAAUUCGUAGAUAUUCGCAAGAACACCAAUGGCGAAGGCAGCUCGCUGGGACGGUACUGACGCUGAGACGCGAAAGCGUGGGGAGCAAACAG
rnacentral:rRNA from 1 species